rnacentral:misc_RNA from 1 species
CUCUGCCGUAGAGAGAAACAGCCCCUCACAAAAUUCAGCCGUACCUAGGAGGAGAACUAAAAUCAAAUCUGUUUAAACUUCUUAAUGAUAAAAUUGAAGAAGUAACGACAUAUUUCGUAGAAAAUAAUAUACCUGGAAGUAACAAUAUUACGAAUUGAUGGCAAAAAUAUUGUAAGAGAUUUCUUAUAUUAUCGAACAUAACACAACAAAACAUGGCUAAACCCACCACCCAACAAUUACCGAUUGACUGUUCUCCGUGACUUGUAAUUAUCGACCGAGCUAUAUAUAAAGAUUUUGUGCUGGUUUAUUAUUUA